rnacentral:lncRNA from 1 species
UUGAGGUUAAAAAUGUUAGACCAGAUAUAAAUAAUAUUUGUUAAAAUCUGCUUAUACCAAUCAAUCCUGCAUUCAUGCAAGUUUGGGCCUCGUGUAAUUCAACAUUAUUGACUAAGUGGUGAUGGCUAAGUGCUAUUCUAGAGAACAAGUGCGUGCCUGUUCAUAUGCAGACAGGAAAACAUUCUGGAAUUAUGUUUCUCGAAGAACCUGAAGUCUUCUAUUUUAGAACUGAGACCAUCAGGAUUCUGGUGAAAAGCUAUAAACAGAAAACAGGGUCAAACAUAUCAAGGUGGUUGAAGACAGACACAUUUCUCCCUCUGGUCCCUGGGCCUCACACUCGCUUCUCUCAGUACCUCAUAUAUUUUCUUCUGUGUGGAAGAACCAUGGACUUCAAAGGAAAUUCAUGCAAAGCAAGGAUUUGCACGGUGUGGAAAAAGCAGGAAUCUGGUUCCCCAUAACUGAAAAAACUACCCACAUGAUUCGUGAUUAACAGUUUGAACUGGCAAGAUGUUAAGAUGAAAGUCUACAAGUAAUUGAAGGGAGGAGGCAAUGGUUUGUGACUGGAGAUUUUUAACCCCUAAAGACAAGGAUCCCUAAAAGAUGCUGCAGUUUCCACUGUUAUUAUCUAGGAUUCAGACUUCACUCUGACAGUAAUGUACUCCCCCUAGGAGAAGCUAACCUCAUGGUAAGUGAAGACAAUGACACAGAGGAGACUUGGUAGAUUUAGAUCAAGUAUUGGCAGC